AGAUAGUUUAUUUCCCAUAAUUUCAGUUAUGUCUGCUCAGAAAUGUUUGAGAAAAGGGUAUGAAGCUUAUCUUGCUUUUGUGUUGAACACUAAAGAUCCAAAAUUGAAAAUUGAAUCAGUGCCUGUGGUAUGUGAGUUUCCCGAUGUGUUUCCAGAAGAACUACCAGGUUUGCCUCCUGUUAGAGAAGUUGAGUUUGGUAUUGAGUUGAUUCCAGGUACCAUGCCCAUUUCUAUUGCCCCUUAU
rnacentral:lncRNA from 1 species